rnacentral:lncRNA from 1 species
GUUGAAGUCCACAAAUCUUAAAGUUGCCAAGUUUAGGGACCCCAGUUCUAUACCAUAUUGAACUUCACAUCCUUGGGAAUGGAAUUAGUGAACAGCUUUGGUUUCUUGUACUGCUUAAAUUCCAAAUAUUCUCAAGUCGGUUAGAAACGGGAGUUUAGAUACGCGGAAGGCUCCAAUCUACCGGUUUAACCCUUCGGCCAACAGCUACCCCUAGUGGCUCUGUUGCGGGAAGCAACUUAUCUUGCGCAUACAAACCUCGCCGCCGGUUUCGCCGCGGUUAACAGGUUUAACCAGCGAGGUAACUCCGAGACGAGGUCACCAACUAAGCGUUAACUCCUUUGGUUCCGGAUAACGAGCGGCUAUCCUUCCACGACCACGUGAACGACGUACCAGAACCCGAAGGCCAAAAGGAAAGGCCUCCGUUUCCCAAAGCGGAGAAAGACCGAACCAGCAGGAUAACUUUCCGAAAACCACAGAGUGAGAGGAAUUAGAUAUGGCAGAAGAAGACAACAAAAGAAAUGUGUAAUCUGAAAAUAAGCUAGAUCAAGCCAUUGACUGCAGAGG